CCUCGAUUGUUCAGGUUCUUUCAAGGAAGGCAAAGAAUAUGUAUACAUGAAAAGGGUUUGAAGCAAUUCCUAGAGCUUUUGAAAGAACUGAAGGACGAAGGUCAUAAAU